GAUAUGGCUCAGGAUGAACGCUGGCGGCGUGCUUAACACAUGCAAGUCGAACGAAGCACUUGAGAUUGAUUCUUCGGAAGAUUUCUCUUGUGACUUAGUGGCGGACGGGUGAGUAACGCGUGGGUAACCUGCCUCACACAGGGGGAUAACAGUUGGAACGACCGCUAAUACCGCAUAACCCGCUAGGGCCGCAUGGCCCGGACGGAAAAGAUUUAUCGGUGUGAGAUGGACCCGCGUUGGAUUAG
rnacentral:rRNA from 1 species